AUACAUCAGAUCAGCCCUGUCAACAUCACGAGAAAGACAACUUGGGUACAUCUGACUGAACUUACUGAAAUUGACUUUUUACAGUGACUUUUAAAAGUGCAGUGAUUGAGGAUUUUAAUUUCUUCUCAAUUUCAUGAAAAAAAAAACAGAAGUGGGACUGAAGAAGAGAGGAAAAUUAAAUAAAAAAGAAGACUCUACACAUCUGAAGGCACUUGACAAAGGCCUGAUCCAGGAAACUAGCCAUGGAGGAGGAUUACAAGAAACCACCACCGUCUUAUGAAGAAGUUAUUACCCAGCAGCACACGAGCAACACUAGUCAGAGCCGCUCUGCUGAUAACAGGCAGGGCUGCUGCUGCAGGUGCUGCAUUAGCACCAAGAACUGUUUGAUGAGUCCAGAGUGCGGUCGAGCUCUUAGCAUCGCCAAUGUGAUUGCCAUGUGUGGCAUGUGCAUUCGAAUGUGUGUCUAACACAGUCUCCUGUGGACCAUCUAUUCCAGUUCUCUCAUCCAAUGGUGGCCUUCUCAAAUAAAAAUGGAAACAAAGACAUUUGCUCUGUUCCAAAACCUAGUGAUCUGCAACAUGUAUAAGCUCACCCCCAAUACGAAUCCAAAUGCUGUUCAAAAUAGAAUGCAGCUCUGCAUGUAUCAUUCAGGUAAUCCUAGAACGAACUGACUAAAAUUUCCAUUUCAAAUAGGAAAUGUCAAUUGCAAAGUAUAGCUUAUAAAUACAAAGUAUAUUAAUUCAGUACUGACACAUAUCAUUGAAAAACACGGCCACGUCAUAUGACCUGUGAGCUUAGCAACAUGCUAACAUUAUACUUUAUAAGAAUCAACUGUGUUAGUAGUCUCUCAUGUGCAUCAUGGGCCUCAUUAAUCAAAUAGUA